CACACGGUGUGACGUUGGAGCACGUCCAGUGGUGUUUCUGCUGUGAUUUCAUACUAACCUCUAACAUCCUGGGAACGGCUGGCUGUGCCCAUGCGCUCACGAGGGCCGCCUGACCCAGCAGGUGUCACUUAACAAGGUGGAUUUGGGAGGGAGAGCAUUGGGCCCUUAGAGGGAUUCAGAGGUCAGUGUCCACUCCCCCCCCCACCGCCAUUGCUCCCCGGUAGAGGGAGUUGAGCCCAGCUGCAUGUGUGGCCCUUCUCUCUCCCCAUCUGUGCUGCGUGGGGUGAGGCCACUUUAUACCGGAGCAGCUCGGUAGUUAUCUGGUUAUUAGCAAGACAAGUCAGCAGGUGCGUGUUGGAGAAGUCCCACUCAGAAGGUUUGUCAUGAAAGCCUCAGGCAUGGCUCUUGUUCUCUUGGCUGCUAAAGAUGGGAAGCAACCAGGAAGAUGUCCAAGUGUUGUUGUUGUUGUUUUGUGAGAAAGUCCAGCAUUUUGCAAGCGAGGGAUGGAAUGUGCUUGUCUGCUCUUCUUGCUGACCCAGCCUUUUCCCGCCUGGAAGGGCCAUGUGGCCAGCAUUUGGUGGUGGCCGCCUUCACCAGGGAGCGCUGCGUGGUCACGCCUAAGGGCCAUCCUGACACCUGGGGGAGCCUUGGUCCCAGGCAACUGUGCAGGGAGGAAACGAGAAACCAAGAGGAAGGGAUGGGGUCUUCUGUAACUUCUCCAUGUGAAAUGGUUCUGCAUGUGAAGUGGGUCUGAUUUGCCACAUUCCCACCUGGGGCUUGUCUGCAGGGGACUCGGAGGCUUGUGGAACCCUGCCAGGUCUUUGCACCUGGAGUUGGCUCCGACGUGUGAGUCCAGGGCAGGUGAGCCUGAUGCCCUUUUCCUCCAGCCUCUUGGCCACCUGUCUGGCUAAACCCCGAGAGGCUGCUUGAUCAGGCUGGUUUCACGUUCCGGCCCACUUCCAUUUCCCUGAGGGGCUCUGAGCAAGUGUCUUAACCUCGCCGAGCCUCAAUUUCCCUGCCUGAACUCAGGACCAGCUCUGGCCUAGCGUGUGGCCUCUCGCCUUGCACAGUGGUUACCAUGAUGAGUGAGGUGUGUGUUAGCAAACCGCCAGGGCCUCCUUCCCUAGCUCCUGUCCUGGGGAAAGAGAGGCUGGGCCUGAGGCGGUCAUCCACACAGAGAGUCAUCAAAGGCUCCUUCCCGGUGAGAUUGCAGUUUAGCAGAAGUCUUUGCAGUUGAAAAAAGUCAGAGCGUGGGUAGUAGAACUUCAAAGAGGGCUCCAGGGUCCUCUCUGGCACAGCUCAGCUGUCAUCACUCCUGUGGGACCGAGUACACUUGUGGGUCCGUGUGACUCCUGGUUGUGGGGUGCCAUCUCUUGCACCAGAGGCUGCAGUUCUCACAUUCUGUGGGAGCUGUUUUUCAUUUGUGUUUUUAAGUUUGAUUCAUUGACGUGCGAUAAACACAUGUAUAUAAGUGUCAACCGAUGCAGUCAUGGUGGUGAUCCUGCCAACUGGGAGCCUUGCCAAGGUUCUCUGGGACAGUUCUGGUGUCAUAUGUGUGUGACCAGGACAGCCUGUGGCUGGCCAUCUGCUCUGACCCAAGCCAGAAAGCAGACCCCUGGGGACUUUGGAGAAUCACCCUCUGGGGCGUGUGCAUGGAGCUUUGGCGUCGGCACUGAGUUCUCUGUGCCCUUUUCUAGAAAGGUCUAUCAAGGUAUGAAAUAAUCAGCAGGUGUCUGUUUGGAGUAGAGAGAAUUGGUUUCUUUAGGCAGAUGCAAAACAGACCCCUCCGCAACCUCUGAAACCUGUCAGUUAGGGUUAGCACUGCCACACCUCCCCCAGGUAAACAGUGGUGUGCUUUCUGCAACGGACCGGAGAUCGAGAUCAGUCAGAAUUCACCGCUGAGGAGUUUCUAGGUAAAAGUUGUUGAUUUGCAAAGGGAGAAACAGAUUUUUUUUUAAGUGCAGGAAAUGGCUGUGUGGGUGUCAGUGAUUGGGCCUCGCGCCUGCGGCGACAGAUAGCGGGAUCCUGCGCCCAGGGCCCCACCCUUGCCACUUCCUGCCAGCGCAGCCCCGCGUUGCGGUUCCUUGCAGCGCCUGGGUGACACCAGCUAGCGCGCCUUCACCGCUAACCAGCCAGUCACCUUUAACCUCUCCCCAAUUUAAUUAUUAUUACUGCUAACGACCUUUUCACCUACAGAAUAAAGCCACGCACACACCUGUGAUGUCUUUUUUGCCCCCCCCCCCCAUAAUUUUUCUGACAAACCCAAGACCACGGGAUACCUUUUAACCAGUGUCCUGUUUGAUUCAAAUGAUUCUCAAAAAAAAAAAGAAAGAAAAAGCCAUUUCUCCCCUAGAACACAGGUCCCCUCCCACACCCGUGUGGACUCCUUGCAGGGUGACUGACUGCAGGAUCUUCCUUUGGGGCGGUUUUCUGGUUGCCACCCACUGUCGGGCCAGCCCACUUGGCUGGCAGUCAGCUUGACCGUCCUGGGAGCUGCCACACCGGACUCUAUCACAGAGAAUGGCCCUGAUUCUGACAUGGUGCCAGCCCGGUGCACGCUUGGCUCUAAGACGCCAGGCUGGGGGUGAGGUCAGGGUGGUCAUCCUUGGCCCGUGCGGGUCCCAACCCCUUGUUUAUUGAACAAGAUCCACUCUUAAAGUGGCUUCUCCAGUUGAGCCGUGCGGUUAGCACCUCAGCCUUGAACUUAACUACUUUAAUUCCGUUCCCACGAUGAUUUCGAAGAGAUAAUUCGGUGGGUACAUGUGAAAUUCUAGAAUGGGACAAAAGUAGUUCACCGCCAACCAGAGAUGCCUGGAAAAUUGCGGCACUCGCUGGCCAGCCAAGGCUGGGGUGCACCAGGGCUGGGCGGGACUUGGGUCCCAGCAGAGGGAGAAAUGUCAUUUUCCUCUCAGCCUCUUAACACAUAAAAUGCCUGGAGAUGAAUUGUUCCUCGGGGUGAAUUUCUGUUCCGCAGAGUCGGCUGAGUUUGAAAAUAGAAGCGUUUGCCUAUCUUAGCACACGCCCACCCUCCUGCACCCAGAAUCUAGCGGUGGAUUGAGUGGGAGUUGAGUGACGCUGUUGUCACCCAUUAUUCGUUGGGGUGCAAAUGCCCAAGCUGGGGUCCUGGAGCAGAGAAGUCAGGGCUCAGCCAUCUGGGAUCUGGGGGCCAGCAGGGCCUCAUGGUGGGGUGCAGGCCCAGAGAGCCUGGACAUCCCCGUCUUGCAUCUGAGCAUGGGUGUGAACAGACAGGAGCUGCCACCCUGACCCCAGCCCCUUGGUUCCACCUAUAGCAAGGGAGGUGUUCCCGUGUGGCUCUUGUCUUUCUGCUGGGAUGCAUGUGGUCCUUAGUCUCUUCAUUUCUCACAUUCAAAGCACUGAGUCAACCCCCUCCCACUGCCAGUGUCAACUGAAAAGCAGUACGGGAGUGUAUUUGAGUGGGUGAUGGGAACCAGCCAUAAAAAGAGUGAGAGUGGGCGGGGUCGCCAUCUACUCCAGGCUCUCUCAACUCUGUUUGUGCUGCCCCCACUAUGGGAGGAAACUUCUGGUCGGCUCUGCACCCCCCACUCUGCACACAUGCCUGCUAACCGGCUUCCAGACCCGAUUUGUGGCACCCUGGGGGUUUUGUUAAAUGUGGGCACGGUGCCUCUCUGCCCUCGAAGAGGUGUGUUCUGGCAGCGUUGGCGCUCCUCUGCAGGGAGGAACAAAGGCUGGGCCACCACGGCCCCAGGGCUUCCCCCACCCGGCUCUAGCUAGCAUCCCCCUGUCCCCUCCAGGGCACCCCGGGCCCCUCAGAGCAAGCGGGCUAUUCCAGCAGACGGUGUUGAAGGCGCAAAUCAAAGAACAAAUAUUCUUUUGAUUUUUUCAAAAAGCAGAACUGUGAGCCCUGCCGGUCUGUAUUAUUUUUGUUGUGAAGACUGAUUUGUGAUUUGUAAAUUCAUUUAUAAGUCACAUACCCGCCUCUCCGUUUUUGCUACAAGAACUAAAGUAGCCCCUGUCAGGUUUCCUGUGAAGGUCUCAGGAGACUUCAGUGGAAACCUCUUGAAAAUCGUAUUUCUAAAUCAAGAGGGUAUUUGUCUUUUGAGGACUCCAAAAAUGUGGCUACUUUUCUCCCUCCUCUCCUUUUCCUUCUGACAAUGCAAUGACCCCGCAUCCAUGGGCUCAUCAGCCACCUGCGAUUUCUACCCCCUUUGACCACCCCAGGCACCUCACAAAGGAUGAAAAACACAUCAGUGUAAAUCAACUCUAGUAAAAAAAAAAAUUUUUUUAAGUAAUAAACAAAUGAUAAGAAAAAAAAACACAUCAGUUGUGGGGUGCCUGGUGGAUAAUAGUACGUAUUUGUUCAGCUUUUCUCGACAAUUCAGAACCAAACCUCAUCCUGUUCCCUUCAAUGCAUUAAGCAGAUUUUUCUUAAAAUUCAGUAAAUAUUUUUAGUGGAAAAAUCUCAACGCUGUGAUGGUGGGGACCUCAGAUUUUAUCUGCUGGGGCUGUGCUGCUUGGCACGGGCUUUGAUCUGCCAGGUUUGCCUUCUCCUGCAUCAGCCAAAGCGAACAGGGCUGCCGUCUGCAGGGCUCCUUGCCAGUGGCCCUGGGGCUCAGACAAGCCCCGUGGGUCACCUCGUGAGACGUUAGCUCUCCCCCACAGGUGGAAGCCGGAGAAAAACACUCGUGGGUGUCUGUGAAAAGCUGUCUUUUUCAGUAGGAAGUUCCCAAGUGAUUAUGGAUGUGUGAAAAAAUGAAAAAGCCUGUGCUCUGGACAGCCUGUGCUUUUCUCUCCCCCACAGUUGAGUUUUUUUUUUGCUGGGGUUGGGGGGCAGGAGUGGAGGAGCCAAAGUGAUGGGCAGUGCCCCCUCCCCAGCCACAGCCCUCCUGUGUAGUAGGACUCUCAGAAGCCCCGUGGCUGUACGGGUGUCCCGUGCUGUGUAGGCCAAGUGACAGUUGUGUGGGUGUCCUAUGUUGGGACAAAUGGCAGUUGUGGGAACGUUCUGUGUUGUGUAGGGUAAGAGCUCAGGUGGGGCAGCUGUCCUGACCACAGACCUUUGUUUUUUUAUUUUGGUGUUUCGUUUUGUUGUGUUUGUAUUUAUCUCUCAUCUGCAGACCUUCAUUUUCCCACUGCAGCCAUGAAUCUUAUAAAUAGAACCCAGCAAGUAUCUGAUUGGGAUAAAACAUACACUCAGGCUCGUGUAUAUUUUUGAUAUUUAGUAUUAAUCCGAUUUAUUGAGAUCCCAAGUCACCCAAACCUUUAAGCAAGAGAAUCUGCCUUCUUUCAGCGUUCGUAUUUUUAAGUUUUGGGGGCCGGCAGGAUUUAGAUUCCAUCGUCUUCUCCCUCUAGGUGGAAAGCUCCCCAAGAAUCAUGGCAGUGGAGGUGGGGUGGGGUUUCGCCACUCCUGGAUCCUGGGUGCUGGGGGCACGCGCGGCCUCGGAAAGUUCAGAAGUAAGAGAAUUAAAGACACUUCUACCAGGGUGGGGCCGGCCACCGAGGUUUUUUUUUUAACAGCACACACCGUGGUAAACCAGCGGGUUCAUAUUGUUUUUGCUCAAGGCCGUCCUGUGUGCGGUUUCGGUGCACCGCUGGGGUAGCUGCUGAAACUGCUGCGGUUUGAAAUAAGCCCGAUUCUGUCCUGUCUUCAACCCUGGGCACCGCCCCCCCGCCUCCCCAGUACUGAAGACUCCUCUGAGUGCCCGACUGUUGCUGUAGGGGGCACAGCGGCAGCUUCCAGCCCCUGGGGGUCUUCGUUUCGUUGUCUGCAGUCACAGCCUCCCCUUCUGCUCAGGGCUCCCUUCCCUGACCCGGUGUCUCAGAAUGACAAAGCGCGCAGCCAGGUAUCAUCCUGGUUAGCUUUAUACCAAAUUUUAAAAACCCAAUAAUUUGUGCUCCCUUCUCUGAAACACACCCCAGUUGAGCUCUUUCCUUUCUCGCGGUGUCCAGGGCCAUGGAGAGGCAUAAAGCUGGGCAGUGAAUUUGCUCAGCGGCGCAGAGGCAGAUGGAGUUAUUCUGUCACGUUUGACAAGCCACACCUCAGAAAAUCAGAAAAAAAACCAUUAAGGAGUUAGCAGAAGUGGUUACAUAAAAGCAGGAACUAGCCCCAGAAUGUUUUAAAAGUGCAGCUGCUAAAAAUAAACCGGGGGCACAGAGUGGGAAGUUUGGACCAAGGGCAAUCAGGGCGAGGGUUUCUUUGCAAAAAGCCUCUGCCUGUGCUCAUGGCCUUGGUGUCGGGCCGAACCGGGGAUGCCACCGAUUUUGCAUGUGUCAGGUCCGAUAAUUCAGCCACUGUGCCCGAGCACAAAAACCGAUAACUGAGAAAAAACCGUUUUGUUUUUUUUCCCCCUCUGAGAAGAAGAACAGUUGAUGUGCUCUGGUUUCAUAUUAAACACAGGCAUGAUUUCUAAAUAACAAUGGUUUCGGCAGCAGUGGAAAACCAGGCCCGGGCCGUUCUUGAUGUGAAUGCCACCCUUCAUCUCCCUCAUCCUCUCUUUGCUUGUCAGAAACCUCAGCUUGAAAUUCUAGCUGGCUGAAUCCUAAACCGUGCCCCACCCACACCCCAAAGUGAUUUAAAAAAAAAAACAAAAAAAAAACCAAACCAAGGAAGGAAGAUUUUCUUAAUUGA